rnacentral:rRNA from 1 species
GGGUUGUGAGGUUAAGCGACUAAGCGUACACGGUGGAUGCCCUGGCAGUCAGAGGCGAUGAAGGACGUGCUAAUCUGCGAUAAGCGUCGGUAAGGUGAUAUGAACCGUUAUAACCGGCGAUUUCCGAAUGGGGAAACCCAGUGUGAUUCGUCACACUAUCAUUAACUGAAUCCAUAGGUUAAUGAGGCGAACCGGGGGAACUGAAACAUCUAAGUACCCCGAGGAAAAGAAAUCAACCGAGAUUCCCCCAGUAGCGGCGAGCGGACGGGGAGCAGCCCAGAGCCUGAAUCAGUGUGUGUGUUAGUGGAAGCGUCUGGAAAGGCGUGCGAUACAGGGUGACAGCCCCGUACACAAAAAUGCACAUAUUGUGAGCUUGAUGAGUAGGGCGGGACACGUGGUAUCCUGUCUGAAUAUGGGGGGACCAUCCUCCAAGGCUAAAUACUCCUGACUGACCGAUAGUGAACCAGUACCGUGAGGGAAAGGCGAAAAGAACCCCGGCGAGGGGAGUGAAAAAGAACCUGAAACCGUGUACGUACAAGCAGUGGGAGCACGCUUAGGCGUGUGACUGCGUACCUUUUGUAUAAUGGGUCAGCGACUUAUAUUCUGUAGCAAGGUUAACCGAAUAGGGGAGCCGAAGGGAAACCGAGUCUUAACUGGGCGUUAAGUUGCAGGGUAUAGACCCGAAACCCGGUGAUCUAGCCAUGGGCAGGUUGAAGGUUGGGUAACACUAACUGGAGGACCGAACCGACUAAUGUUGAAAAAUUAGCGGAUGACUUGUGGCUGGGGGUGAAAGGCCAAUCAAACCGGGAGAUAGCUGGUUCUCCCCGAAAGCUAUUUAGGUAGCGCCUCGUGAAUUCAUCUCCGGGGGUAGAGCACUGUUUCGGCAAGGGGGUCAUCCCGACUUACCGACCCGAUGCAAACUGCGAAUACCGGAGAAUGUUAUCACGGGAGACACACGGCGGGUGCUAACGUCCGUCGU